GAUGAACGCUGGCGGCGUGCCUAAUACAUGCAAGUCGAGCGAACGGACGAGAAGCUUGCUUCUCUGAUGUUAGCGGCGGACGGGUGAGUAACACGUGGAUAACCUACCUAUAAGACUGGGAUAACUUCGGGAAACCGGAGCUAAUACCGGAUAAUAUUUUGAACCGCAUGGUUCAAAAGUGAAAGACGGUCUUGCUGUCACUUAUAGAUGGAUCCGCGCUGCAUUAGCUAGUUGGUAAGGUAACGGCUUACCAAGGCAACGAUGCAUAGCCGACCUGAGAGGGUGAUCGGCCACACUGGAACUGAGACACGGUCCAGACUCCUACGGGAGGCAGCAGUAGGGAAUCUUCCGCAAUGGGCGAAAGCCUGACGGAGCAACGCCGCGUGAGUGAUGAAGGUCUUCGGAUCGUAAAACUCUGUUAUUAGGGAAGAACAUAUGUGUAAGUAACUGCGCACAUCUUGACGGUACCUAAUCAGAAAGCCACGGCUAACUACGUGCCAGCAGCCGCGGUAAUACGUAGGUGGCAAGCGUUAUCCGGAAUUAUUGGGCGUAAGCGCGCGUAGGCGGUUUUUUAGUCUGAUGUGAAAGCCCACGGCUCAACCGUGGAGGGUCAUUGGAAACUGGAAAACUUGAGUGCAGAAGAGGAAAGUGGAAUUCCAUGUGUAGCGGUGAAAUGCGCAGAGAUAUGGAGGAACACCAGUGGCGAAGGCGACUUUCUGGUCUGUAACUGACGCUGAUGUGCGAAAGCGUGGGGAUCAAACAGGAUUAGAUACCCUGGUAGUCCACGCCGUAAACGAUGAGUGCUAAGUGUUAGGGGGUUUCCGCCCCUUAGUGCUGCAGCUAACGCAUUAAGCACUCCGCCUGGGGAGUACGACCGCAAGGUUGAAACUCAAAGGAAUUGACGGGGACCCGCACAAGCGGUGGAGCAUGUGGUUUAAUUCGAAGCAACGCGAAGAACCUUACCAAAUCUUGACAUCCUUUGACAACUCUAGAGAUAGAGCUUUCCCCUUCGGGGGACAAAGUGACAGGUGGUGCAUGGUUGUCGUCAGCUCGUGUCGUGAGAUGUUGGGUUAAGUCCCGCAACGAGCGCAACCCUUAAGCUUAGUUGCCAUCAUUAAGUUGGGCACUCUAAGUUGACUGCCGGUGACAAACCGGAGGAAGGUGGGGAUGACGUCAAAUCAUCAUGCCCCUUAUGAUUUGGGCUACACACGUGCUACAAUGGACAAUACAAAGGGCAGCGAAACCGCGAGGUCAAGCAAAUCCCAUAAAGUUGUUCUCAGUUCGGAUUGUAGUCUGCAACUCGACUACAUGAAGCUGGAAUCGCUAGUAAUCGUAGAUCAGCAUGCUACGGUGAAUACGUUCCCGGGUCU
rnacentral:rRNA from 1 species